GCGCCCAUAGCUCAGUCGGUAGAGCACCUGCCUUUUAAGCAGAGGGUCGUUGGUUCGAUUCCAACUGGGCGCACUA
rnacentral:tRNA from 1 species